rnacentral:rRNA from 1 species
GACGAACGCUGGCGGCGUGCUUAACACAUGCAAGUCGAACGGAAAGGCCCUGCUUUUGUGGGGUGCUCUAGUGGCGAACGGGUGAGUAACACGUGAGUAACCUGCCCUUGACUUUGGGAUAACUUCAGGAAACUGGGGCUAAUACCGGAUAGGAGCUCCUGCUGCAUGGUGGGGGUUGGAAAGUUUCGGCGGUUGGGGAUGGACUCGCGGCUUAUCAGCUUGUUGGUGGGGUAGUGGCUUACCAAGGCUUUGACGGGUAGCCGGCCUGAGAGGGUGACCGGCCACAUUGGGACUGAGAUACGGCCCAGACUCAUACGUGAGGCAGCAGUGGGGAAUAUUGCAUGAUGGGCGGAAGCCUGAUGCAGCAACGCCGCGUGCGGGAUGACGGCCUUCGUGUUGUAAACCGCUUUCGCCUGUGACGAAGCGUGAGUGACGGUAAUGGGUAAAGAAGCACCGGCUAACUACGUG